AGCCUCUGCCUCUCUCUCUCUCUGGGCUCAAAAAAGGCUACGGGUCGAUUAUAGUUGCUAUCUGUUUAACAAACAUGCAAUCUGAUAUGCAUAUGAAACCAACCUUUUCAAAGACUAUGAGCAAUAUAAACCUUGGUAACAUGGCUUCUUCCUCGUAUUCGUUCCAUGAGUUGUUAGCAAUACCUUCUUCCAAGCUGCACUGCAAGAACCUGCGUCGAUCCUCGUUGAAAGUCAUCAGAGCUCAAAACUAUAAAGAUGAAGGGAGAUCAAGUAAUAUGGUAGAUGCAAAUCUGAGAGUCCUUAAAGAAAGAAUAGAACAAGUGAGAAAUAAGGAGAGACUAGAAAGAUGUUGCACAAGUGAGCAGGGCUGGAAUUAUACACCUGUUUACUCUUCUCAUUACAAAAAACAAGAUGUGUUGUCCCAGUGUUAUGAUCUCAUAGGCUUGGUUUUCGGAACUGCUGGUCUUGCUGUUCUUUUCGGAACUUUGGUUUUGUGCAUGUUUUCCCUUCUCCUUCAUCUAAAACAGUGAUAGUCCUGUCUUUUUAACUGAUUAUCACGCGAAGAUAUAUGUAUUUCUUCGUCGGUUUAUUUUCAUGUAAUAAGAGCCUUUUUACUUUCUUCUA